UUGGUGGUCUCAGCGUCGUCGGUCCACGGGCGCUCACGGCGCCGUCGCGGCUCCGCCA
rnacentral:tRNA from 1 species